GACCCCGUCGUCUAGUGGCCAAGGACGACAGGAUUUCCUCCUGUAAACUCAAGUUCGAAUCUUGACGGGGUCGCCA
rnacentral:tRNA from 1 species